rnacentral:rRNA from 1 species
AACGAACGCUGGCGGCAGGCUUAACACAUGCAAGUCGAACGCCCCGCAAGGGGAGUGGCAGACGGGUGAGUAACGCGUGGGAACGUACCCUUCGGUUCGGGAUAACCCGGGGAAACUCGGGCUAAUACCGGAUACGUCCUGGCCUGGAGACAGGGUGGGAGAAAGGUUUACCGCCGAAGGAUCGGCCCGCGUCGGAUUAGCUGGUUGGUGGGGUAAUGGCCCACCAAGGCGACGAUCCGUAGCUGGUCUGAGAGGAUGAUCAGCCACACUGGGACUGAGACACGGCCCAGACUCCUACGGGAGGCAGCAGUGGGGAAUAUUGGACAAUGGGCGAAAGCCUGAUCCAGCCAUGCCGCGUGAGUGAAGAAGGCCUUAGGGUUGUAAAGCUCUUUCAGCGGGACGAUAAUGACGGUACCCGCAGAAGAAGUCCCGGCUAACUUCGUG